GUAGGGAAUAUUGGACAAUGGGGGCAACCCUGAUCCAGCGACGCCGCGUGAGUGACGAAGGCCUUCGGGUCGUAAAGCUCUGUUGCAAGGGAAAAACAAAAUGAUGGUACCUUGCUAGAAAGGAUCGGCUAACUUCGUGCCAGCAGCCGCGGUAAGACGAGGGAUCCUAGCGUUGUUCGGAAUUAUUGGGCGUAAAGCGGGUGUAGGUGGCUUUGUAAGUCAGGUGUGAAAGCCUGGGGCUUAACCCCAGAAGUGCAUUUGAUACUGCGAAGCUUGAGUGCUGGAGAGGCUACUAGAAUUCUUGGUGUAGUGGUGAAAUACGUAGAUAUCAAGAGGAAUACCGGAGGCGAAGGCGGGUAGCUGGCCAGACACUGACACUCAGACCCGAAAGCGUGGGGAUCAAACAGGAUUAGAAACCCGAGUAGUCC
rnacentral:rRNA from 1 species